CCUGCCUGUCGACUGUCAUAACUCCGGGAAACCGGGGCUAAUACCGGAUGCUUGUUUGAACCGCAUGGUUCAACAUAAAAGGUGGCUUCGGCUACCACUUACAGAUGGACCCGCGGCGCAUUAGCUAGUUGGUGAGGUAAUGGCUCACCAAGGCAACGAUGCGUAGCCGACCUGAGAGGGUGAUCGGCCACACUGGGACUGAGACACGGCCCAGACUCCUACGGGAGGCAGCAGUAGGGAAUCUUCCGCAAUGGACGAAAGUCUGACGGAGCAACGCCGCGUGAGUGAUGAAGGUUUUCGGAUCGUAAAGCUCUGUUGUUAGGGAAGAACAAGUACCGUUCGAAUAGGGCGGUACCUUGACGGUACCUAACCAGAAAGCCACGGCUAACUACGUGCCAGCAGCCGCGGUAAUACGUAGGUGGCAAGCGUUGUCCGGAAUUAUUGGGCGUAAAGGGCUCGCAGGCGGUUCCUUAAGUCUGAUGUGAAAGCCCCCGGCUCACCCGGGGAGGGUCAUUGGAAACUGGGGAACUUGAGUGCAGAAGAGGAGAGGGGAUUCCACGUGUAGCGGUGAAAUGCGUAGAGAUGUGAGGACACCAGUGGCGAAGCGACUUCUCUGGUCUGUACUGACGCUGAGGAGCGAAGCGUGGGGGAGCGACAGGAUUAGAUACCCUGUAGUCCACGCGUAACGAUGAUGGCUAGUGUUAGGGGUUUCCGCCCUUAUGCUGCAGCUACGCAUUAGCCCUCCGCUGGGGAGUACGUCGCAGACUGACUCAGAAUGACGGGGCCGCCAGCGGUGACAUGUGUUAUUCGAGCACCGGAAACUACAGCUGGAACUCUUGCAUUCUAGAUAGAAGCUCCCUUCGG
rnacentral:rRNA from 1 species